AACGUUUAAGACUAAGACGUUGAUAGGCUGGGUGUGUAAGUGCAGCGAUGCAUUGAGCUAACCAGUACUAAUGAUCCGUGAGGCUUAACCU
rnacentral:rRNA from 1 species